CAAUAGCGUAUAUUAAAGUUGUUGCAGUUAAAAAGCUCGUAGUUGGAUUUCGGGGCAGCCUGGCUGGUCCGCCGCAAGGCGAGUACUGGUCAGCCGCCCUUCCUCUCGAAAGCCCCGACUGCUCUUUAUUGCAGUGGUCGGGUAGUUCGGGACGUUUACUUUGAAAAAAUUAGAGUGUUCAAGGCAGGCCUACGCCUGAAUACAUUAGCAUGGAAUAAUGGAAGAGGACCUCGGCCCUAUUUUGUUGGUUUCCAGGACCGAAGUAAUGAUUAAGAGGGACAGUUGGGGGCAUUCGUAUUUAAUUGUCAGAGGUGAAAUUCUCGGAUUUAUGAAAGACGAACAACUGCGAAAGCAUUUGCCAAGGAUGUUUUCAUUAA
rnacentral:rRNA from 1 species